UACGGAGGAUGCGAGCGUUAUCCGGAUUUGUUGGGUUUAAAGGGUGCGUAGGCGGAUUUUUAAGUCAGCGGUAAAAUGUCCGGGCUCAACCCGGGCCGGCCGUUGAAACUGGGGAUCUUGAGUGGGCGAGAAGUAUGCGGAAUGCGUGGUGUAGCGGUGAAAUGCAUAGAUAUCACGCAGAACUCCGAUUGCGAAGGCAGCAUACCGGCGCCCGACUGACGCUGAGGCACGAAAGCGUGGGGAUCGAACAGG
rnacentral:rRNA from 1 species